GAACGCUGGCGGCAGGCCUAACACAUGGCAAGGUCGAGCGGGUAACAGGGGAGUAGCUUGCUACUCUGCUGACGAGCGGCGGACGGGUGAGUAAAUGUCUGGGAAACUGCCUGAUGAGGGGGAUAACUACUGGAAACGGUAGCUAAUACCGCAUAACGUCGCAAGACCAAAGAGGGGGACCUUCGGGCCUCUUGCCAUCAGAUGUGCCCAGAUGGGAUUAGCUAGUAGGUGGGGUAACGGCUCACCUAGGCGACGAUCCCUAGCUGGUCUGAGAGGAUGACCAGCCACACUGGAACUGAGACACGGUCCAGACUCCUACGGGAGGCAGCAGUGGGGAAUAUUGCACAAUGGGCGCAAGCCUGAUGCAGCCAUGCCGCGUGUAUGAAGAAGGCCUUCGGGUUGUAAAGUACUUUCAGCGGGGAGGAAGGUGCUGAGGUUAAUAACCUCAGCAAUUGACGUUACCCGCAGAAGAAGCACCGGCUAACUCCGUG
rnacentral:rRNA from 1 species